rnacentral:rRNA from 1 species
GAUGAACGCUGGCGGCGUGCCUAAUACAUGCAAGUCGAGCGAACAGACGCGGAGCUUGCUUCUCUGAUGUUAGCGGCGGACGGGUGAGUAACACGUGGAUAACCUACCUAUAAGACUUGGAUAACUUCGGGAAACCGGAGCUAAUACCGGAUAAUAUUUUGAACCGCAUUGUUCAAAAGUGAAAGACGGUUUUGCUGUCACUUAUCGAUGUAUCCGCGCUGCAUUAGCUAGUUGGUAAGGUAACGGCUUACCAAGGCAACGAUGCGUAGCCGACCUGGGAGGGUGAUCGGCCACACUGGAACUGAGACAAGGUCCAGACUCCUACGGGAGGCAGAAGUAGGGAAUAGGCCGCAAUGGGCGAAAGCCUGACGGAGCAACGAGGCGGGAGUGAUGAAGGUGUGCGGAGCGUAAAACUCUGUGAUUAGGGAAGAACAUAUGUGUAAGUAAAUGUGCACGUCUUGACGGUACCUAAUCAGAAAGCCACGGCUAACUACGUG